GAGCUGUAAACAUACGGUGGU
rnacentral:siRNA from 1 species